rnacentral:rRNA from 1 species
GUGGAUUAGAUACCCUGGUAGUCCACGCCGUAAACGUUGGGCGCUAGAUGUGGGGACCAUUCCACGGUUUCCGUGUCGCAGCUAACGCAUUAAGCGCCCCGCCUGGGGAGUACGGCCGCAAGGCUAAAACUCAAAGGAAUUGACGGGGGCCCGCACAAGCGGCGGAGCAUGCGGAUUAAUUCGAUGCAACGCGAAGAACCUUACCAAGGCUUGACAUAUACCUGAAAAGGCUGGAAACAGUCUCCCCGCAAGGCAGGUGUACAGGUGGUGCACGGCUGUCGCCAACU